rnacentral:rRNA from 1 species
AGUGAACGCUGGCGGUAGGCCUAACACAUGCAAGUCGAACGGCAGCACAGUAAGAUCUUGCUCUUACGGGUGGCGAGUGGCGGACGGGUGAGGCAUACAUCGGAAUCUACUUUUUCGUGGGGGAUAACGUAGGGAAACUUACGCUAAUACCGCAUAUGUCCUACGGGUGAAAGCAGGGGAUCUUCGGACUUUUCGUGAUUGAAUGAGCCGAUGCCGGAUUAGCUAGUUGGCGGGGUAAAGGCUCACCAAGGCAACGAGCCGUAGCUGGUCUGAGAGGAUGAUCAGCCACACUGGAACUGAGACACGGUCCAGACUCCUACGGGAGGCAGCAGUGGGGAAUAUUGGACAAUGGGCGCAAGCCUGAUCCAGCCAUGCCGCGUGGGUGAAGAAGGCCUUCGGGUUGUAAAGCCCUUUUGUUGGGAAAGAAAAGCAGCAGGUUAAUACCCCGCUGUUCUGACGGUACCCAAAGAAUAAGCACCGGCUAACUUCGUG